rnacentral:rRNA from 1 species
UACGUAGGGACCGAGCGUUGUCCGGAAUCAUUGGGCGUAAAGAGCGUGUAGGCGGCCCUUUAAGUCCUGCGUGAAAUCCUGCGGCUCAACCGCAGACGGUCGUGGGAAACUGGAGGGCUAGAGUCCGGAAGAGGCGAGUGGAACUCCUGGUGUAGCGGUGGAAUGCGCAGAUAUCAGGAAGAACACCAACGGCGAAGGCAGCUCGCUGGGACGGUACUGACGCUGAGACGCGAAAGCGUGGGGAGCGAACAGG